UUGUUAUUGUUGUUUUUUUUCAUCGUUUAUUUCAAGUCAUCGUCAAUUAUGUGUCAUGUACGAGGCAUUGCUCUACUCCCAAUGGCCACUCGAAGGACGCUCUGAUCGAUUGGUACCUUUUGGCACUUGAUCAAAGUUUGGUCGUCUUCAUAAUUCGAUUCCGGCGAGCAAGAAUUUAUCCCUUGCUCCUUGUUGAAUCGCCGGGAUGUGAGUUGUUCCGUUGCCACCUCUCUCGACUGGUCACGACUGGCGAGUAUCGUCUGUCUAUCGAUUCUCGUAAGUUUGAUGUGAAUUAUGAUACAACGAUGAUUUGGUGAUUCCUUCGUUUUUUUCUUUUUGUUGAUCAAACGCGUUUUCAUUUCUUUUUUGAAUAUUCAUUUUUUUUCUGUUGACUCUAUUUUUUUUUCAAGUAUUUGUUUUUGAGUAUUAUUUUUAAAUUAAAUUUUAAAUGAUAGUAUUUUAAUGUUUUCGUUUUAAGUGUUGGACGAGAGUGUACUUGAUAUGAAUAUUACAAAUAGAUAUUAUACUUAGUAUUAAGGUAUUAGUAUUAAGGUUUAGAUUAAGAUAGUUUAUAAAAUGGACAACGUGGAACAACAAUGGACAACAUGGGAUUUAAUUUUUUAUUAUAAUUUUAAUUGUAUUUUUGAUGUAUGAUUAUUGUGAAAACUAAUUGUAUUAAAUUUAUUAUAUUAUUAUUAUUAUAAAUAAUUUUUAUAAUUAUUUAUAAUAUUAUUAAUUCUUUUAUAUUUUAGGAUUUAAAUUAUUUUAGGAUAAUAAAAUUAUACUAAUAAUUAAAUAAAUUUAAUUAAAAUUUCUAUAUUAACAUCCAUUAUAGCAUGUCUAAAUUAAAACAAAAGAUAAAAGUAUUAAUUUUUUUACUCUUUCAUUUGAUUUCAAUGUCUAUUUCUCAAAUAUUUAUUUUUAAUAUUUAUUCUUUAAAUCGUUUUUUAAGUCUUUUCUUAAUUUAUGAUUAUAUUUAUAUUAAAAUUUAUAUCAAAUUCUUUUUAAAGAAAAAAGAAAAAAAAAUUAUAUAAAAGAAUAAGAGAUAUAAAUAAAGAUGAUCGCCAUCUUUUAUUUUUAUUUUUAAAAUUUAUUCUAUUUUUAGAAAGAUGUCAAGAGAUGGCGCUAAUAAUUCAUUUUAUACUAUACAUUUUACACUUCUUUCAUUGUUUCUUAUCCUUUCUUUUUAUAUUUUAUUUGUGGCACUCUAGAGAUAGUAUUAACGUAUAUUUUAACUUCAUAUCCAUUCUUGUCUCUAUUUAUUUUAUUAUUUAUAUUAGUUUCUUCUAUAAAAAUAUAAUGCUGAUUUGUGAUUAAUUUUAUUUCAUUGUACAAUUUAUGGAUUAGAAUUUCAAUAAAAUUUAUUCUAUUCAAUUGUAAUAUAUCAUAAGUGAUUUUAAAGAAAUAUUUUUGGCGUUCAAAAAAUUUUUUUUUGCAUUUCUAUUUAUUUCUUGAAAUAAUAUUUUUUUGAUUAUUAGAUAUCAGAAUCUUUCUUUGAAUUAUUGAUGUCAAUAUCGUGACAAAUAUUAUAAUCUAAUAUAUUAAAUCAGAUUUGUUCAUAGAAAAUAUUAAUUUUUUAAAAAUAUAUCGGUUAUUUGGUUUCCUUUCAAUUCUUUUAAAUCAGACGAGGUAAACACGUGAUAAUACUUGUAUGCGUAUGCGCAAAAUAUGUGAUUAAAAUAGUUACGUUACGUAUAUUAUAGUUACUGUGAUUUUAAAAUAUAUGUAUUUCGUUUAUGAAUAACAACGUUUAAUAAUUUAUUUGCGAUUUCUGCUAUCAAUAAACAAAUAGAUGGAAGCGAAACAGGAAAAUUUUUCUGCUCAAUGGGCGCUUGAUCUUCUUGAACCUACAGCAUUAGAUCAAUCAAACUAUAUUUUUAAAUAUUAUUUAGCACCGAUUGCUGGAAUUACAUGUGGAUAUUCACAAGUGAUAUUAAACAAAAUUCAGAAAAAGCCUACAUAUGCUAAUAAACCCUAUAUGUUACUUGGAUUUUUGGGUGGUAGUCUUUUUGGAUUUUUAAUACACGGUAUAUUUGAAAUAAAAUCUGCAAGAAAAGAUGCAAUAAUGAGAGAUUAUAUAAGGCUUCAUCCAGAACAGUUUCCUAAACCAGGAUUAUAAUUAUCAUUAUAUAAUCCAGUUCCUUUAGAAUCUCCUAACCAGGGAUAUUUAUUAGGACACUCCCUACAUGUUUCUAGGUUUGAAAUCUAAAGCACAUUUAUUUGGAUUAUUACAUGGGGGUCCAGGAAGAUUUUCUUUCCUUUUACAUGACCAUCCUUCAAAAUUAUUCAAAGAUUUUAUUGGUUUUGGAUCAGUUAUCCACGUUAAUGCUUGAGUGGCUGUUACGAAAUAUACAUCAGGUCUGUAAAUACAAUUAUUUUAAUUUAUAAAAAUUAAAAACAUUAAAAUCUACAGAUUAUUUCUAUAUUUAAAUAUCUCUAUUUUUUUAUAUUAAAUAUUCUUUUAUUAUAAGUAUCUGGAAUAAUAAAAAUAUUUUUAUAUUAAA